rnacentral:pre_miRNA from 8 species
GCGCGGCUGGUGCGUGGUUUAGGUAGUUUCAUGUUGUUGGGAUUGGCUUCCUGGCUCGACAACAAGAAACUGCCUUGAUUACGUCAGUUCGU